AUGGGAGAUGCAGUUUCUCUGUGCUCUCACAAAGUGAUGGAGGACAUUGAAACAAUGGGCAUGGAAGAUGGAAGGCAGCAUUAUGAUGAUAUCAAACUUUCUACUGCUGGUGAUGCUGGGACUCUUUGCUCAGGAAUCAAUGGCAGAUAUAGUCCUGACUCAGUCUUCGUCAACUCUGUUCAGCUGGGAGACCCUGUUUCUAUCAGCUGUACAGCCAGUCAGAGCGUUUUCAGCAACUACCUCCACUGGUACCUGCAGAAACCUGGUCAGGCUCCUAAACUUCUGAUUUAUGAUGCGACAACUCGCCAGUCUGGGAUUCCUGAUCGUUUCAGUGGGAGUGGAUCUGGGACUCAGUUUACACUGAAAAUCACUGGAGUCCAUGCUGAAGAUGCAGGAGAUUAUUACUGUCAGCAGGGAUAUAGCUCGCUGACACAGUGAUACAGAGCCGUACAAAAACCUCCCUCAGUCAGACUGCACAGAGACUGCACUGCUGCAGCUGGAACCUACUGCAGGUGCUGAGGGGGGAGUCACUGACCCGGGACACUGAGGGGCUCAGCGCUAAAACACCAAACUUCUGUAAUACACUUUUUUGUUUGUUAUUUGACAAGAGAGUACAAACCUUCCAUGUGUUCUCAGCAAGCUAGUAACACUACAAGUUGACAUUAAAAUGUAUUUAUCUAGUCGUUUUACAUAUAAAAUAAUAUGAGAAAGUUUUGAAUUAACAGCAACAUAAGGAAGAUAACUUGAAUUUUUCUUAAAGACCUUAAAUUGCAUAAAGCAUUGUUUCUCACAAAUGACAAACAUUUCUCAAAAUAAAACAAAAGUAUUUUAUUAAAAGCAAUUAUCUCAACAAAUAAACAAUUCUGGCAACAUU